GACGAACGCUGGCGGCGUGCUUAACACAUGCAAGUCGAGCGGAAAGGCCUCUUCGGGGGUACUCGAGCGGCGAACGGGUGAGUAACACGUGAGCAACCUGCCCUUCACUUUGGGAUAACCAUCGGAAACGGUGGCUAAUACCGGAUACGACGCACCGCCGCAUGGUGUGUGUGUGGAAAGUUUUUCAGUGGGGGAUGGGCUCGCGGCCUAUCAGCUUGUUGGUGGGGUGAUGGCCUACCAAGGCGAUGACGGGUAGCCGGCCUGAGAGGGCGACCGGCCACACUGGGACUGAGACACGGCCCAGACUCCUACGGGAGGCAGCAGUGGGGAAUAUUGCGCAAUGGGCGGAAGCCUGACGCAGCGACGCCGCGUGAGGGAUGACGGCCUUCGGGUUGUAAACCUCUUUCAGCAGGGACGAAGCGAUAGUGACGGUACCUGCAGAAGAAGCACCGGCCAACUACGUGCCAGCAGCCGCCGUAAUAC
rnacentral:rRNA from 1 species